rnacentral:ribozyme from 2 species
GCUGCUCGUAAUAAUCACACACCUCUUCGUGGUGAGCAGCAGGCAACGGUCUAAGGAUCGGCGAAGAUGUGAAG